GCCCGGAGGGGAGGCAGGAGCUUGUGGUCCCAACUACUAGGGAGGCUGAGGCAGGAGGAUCACUUGAGCCCAGGAAUUCUGGGCGGUCACAUGCAAUGCCCACCAGGUAUCCCUACUAAGUUCAGCAUCGAGGUGGUGACCUCCAGGAGUGGGGACAACCAUGUUGCCUAAGCAAGUGUGAACAGGCAUGGGUAAGACAUGGAGCAGGUCAAAACCCCACUGCUGACCAGUGGUGGGAUCACCCACAAAUGUCCAUUGCACGCCAGGCAGAGAGAGACCUCAACU
rnacentral:SRP_RNA from 1 species